rnacentral:lncRNA from 1 species
GGAGAGGACAAGAAUUUGUACCAUCCUAGGGCACUGUCAUAUCAAAGUUAACUUAGCUCUGGAGCGUGGUCAAACAGUGGGAGACAUGACCACCAGGCUGACUCUGGCAGACCUACCUUGAAGUGAGCUAUGAUAGUGUGAGAUGGCCUUGCAGCAGCAGCUGGGAAAAGAUAAGAGUGACACCAUCAAGAGGCAGAAGAGCAGUAUUCUUCUAUGUGUGUUUCAAAAAUAUAACCCUACUGAGAAAUUUCCUGGUAAAAUCUCUUUUAUAGAGAAAUCUGAAAAUUAUGACAUCAGAUCAUGUCUUCAGUUCAACCCGGAGAGAGUAACAGAGGAAAAGAGAGAAGAGGGAGAGAGAAAGCACAAGCAUGGGGAAGGCCAGAGGAAGAAGGAGAAGCAGGAUUCCUGCCGUGCAGGGAGCCUGACGAGGGGCUAGGAUCCUGGGACCAUGACCUGAGCUGAAAGCCAAUGCUUAACUGAUUGAGCCUCCCAGGGAUCCCCAUAAUUAUUAAUAUUGUUAUUACUAUUAUUACCUAUAGAUAAAGACUCUACCCAGAUGAUAAAAGCAAAUGUUAUUGUAUGAAUUGUUGGCUUAAAUUCUAAAUCCUAAAUCUUAGAGAGCUUGAUACCUUUGUACCUUUGUGUUUAAUUCACAACUCAUUAAAGUGCAUGG